UACAGAGGUGGCAAGCGUUGUUCGGAAUUACUGGGCGUAAAGGGCGCGUAGGCGGCCUUCUAAGUCAGACGUGAAAUCCCCCGGCUUAACCUGGGAACUGCGUCUGAUACUGGACGGCUUGAGUAUGGGAGAGGGAUGUAGAAUUCCAGGUGUAGCGGUGAAAUGCGUAGAUAUCUGGAGGAAUACCGGUGGCGAAGGCGGCAUCCUGGACCAUUACUGACGCUGAUGCGCGAAAGCUAGGGGAGCAAACGGG
rnacentral:rRNA from 1 species